rnacentral:rRNA from 1 species
AUUGAACGCUGGCGGCAGGCCUAACACAUGCAAGUCGAACGAGUGGCGGACGGGUGAGUAAUGUCUGGGAAACUGCCCGAUGGAGGGGGAUAACUACAGGAAACGGUAGCUAAUACCUCAUACCAUCAGAUGUGCCCAGAUGCGAUUAGCUAGUUGGUGGGGUAACGGCUCACCAAGGCAACGAUCCCUUGCUGGUCUGAGAGGAUGACCAGCCACAUGGGAACUGAGACACGGUCCAGACUCCUACGGGAGGCAGCAGUGGGGAAUCUUGCACAAUGGGCGCAAGCCUGAUGCAGCCAUGCCGCGUGUAUGAAGAAGGCCUUCGGGUUGUAAAGUAAUUUCAGCGGGGAGGCGUUACCCGAAGAAGAAGCACCGGCUAACUCCGUGCCAGCAGCCGCGGUAAUUC